UACGAAGGGGGCUAGCGUUGCUCGGAAUCACUGGGCGUAAAGGGUGCGUAGGCGGGUCUUUAAGUCAGGGGUGAAAUCCUGGAGCUCAACUCCAGAACUGCCUUUGAUACUGAAGAUCUUGAGUUCGGGAGAGGUGAGUGGAACUGCGAGUGUAGAGGUGAAAUUCGUAGAUAUUCGCAAGAACACCAGUGGCGAAGGCGGCAUCCUGGACCAACACUGACGCUGAGGAGCGAAAGCCAGGGGAGCAAAGCGGG
rnacentral:rRNA from 1 species